rnacentral:rRNA from 1 species
UACAGAGACUGCAAGCGUUAUUCGGAUUCACUGGGCGUAAAGGGUGCGCAGGCGGCCGUGUGUGUGAGGCGUGAAAGCCCGGGGCUCAACCCCGGAAUUGCACCUCAAACUACAUGGCUAGAGCAUUGGAGAGGGAAGCGGAAUUCACGGUGUAGCAGUGAAAUGCGUAGAGAUGCGGAGGAACACCGAUGGCGAAGGCAGCCCCCUGGGCUAACACUGACGCUCAGGCACGAAAGCGUGGGGAGCAAACAGG